CGAUGCUGCCAUCGGUCGUUCUCUUCUUCUUCACUUCCUCCUCUGGUGCCUCUAAGCAUUAUGGUGUUGCUUGAAGGAACCAGAUCUAGGAUUUCAAAGUUAGAUCUUAAAACUUUUUUCAGAUCAAGCAGCGAAAGAAUAAAAUAAAUUAAAAUUUAUCUUAUAAAAUUAGAAAAUUUCUAGAUCUAAGAUCCUAUUACAUGAUUAUU
rnacentral:lncRNA from 1 species